AGGAUGUUUACCUGUCCAUGGCCAGAUGUUCUGGACAGCAGAAAGCCACAUUGGGAUAAAGACUGAGGAAGAAAGAACAGGAUCAGAAAACACUGCCAGGAGAACAGACAGAUAACAGGUGCAGGAUCACAGCCAGCAGCUUGCUGAUGUCCCAGUGCUCAGAAUCUGAGAACAUGAGGAUCUUCAUCGCCGAGCGGAUGUGGGCAUAAUCCUUCGUGUCGUUCCGGCCAUCACAGGACAUGCAGUUACCCUGCAAGACACCACACCCACAGGAACGGAUGAUUUAAAACACUGGAUGAUGCCAUUCAAGUGGGUUCUGGACAUCACCGAGUUUAGCAUUGUUCAAAGCGUGGUUCUAUCGAGUCAUCACAGCCACAUCAGAUCGUUACAGUGUAGCCCACCUUGCCUUCAUCAUCCUCCAGCAAGAUCCGUCCUGAGUCAGAGUCCUUCACAACUGCCCCAAUAGGGACAUUGAAUUCACUGUUUGGGUGAGCG